UCUGGCCCGGCGUCGCUUCCCGACGUAUUCUCGCCGCUGCCCGCCACCGCCAGGAGGAGGGGAGAUUUUUGAGGAGGAGAUUUUCUGAGGAGAUUUUUACCGUACUUCCCUCUACUGUAUGCCUCAGCUUGCAGCCUGCCACCCCUACCGGUAUCGUUACGCCCCUGUCUGUGGGUCUCCCUCACCCCACACAAACACCAGGGCGAUAGGGGGAAAGCUUCAGCAAGCAGCCUGCUACUGAGCCAGGAGAGAUCACCACUAUGUCUUAUUUUCGGGUUUUCAAUUUGUCAGUGCCUUAGUGGCAUGCAUCCACUGAGCUGGGAUGGCUGUUGGUGGUUAACCUUGUUACUGCAGACAAGUUACAAGCCCUGACAAGCACUGGAUUACUGUGCCAUUUGUUUUAGAAACCACAAGGGGAAGAAAAGGUGGGAGGUUCAAAGAUAUGAGAAGAAAGGGAGAUCUCAAGACAGGGCAAAUUUGUGACCAUAACAUUGCCUUCUGGGCUGGCAAGUGCAUCUGUUGUUCCAGUUUGUUAGUGCAUACAGUAGCAAGCAUAAGAGUAAUGACUGAUAGCCAGAUACUUGCUCCCUUGACAAAAGGACUGGAGACCCACAGAGAAACCAUUACAAACAGCAAAUUGAAGAAUAGGAAAAUGAAGUAUUGAUAUGACAAGGAAAUUUCCAUUAGGACAGGCAUCUGCUUAAGCCAACAAGAGGAAGCAUGCUUUGAAAUGUAUAUGGUGUGAUGCUGCUUUGAAAUAGAUGCUUAGCGAGAAAGAGAGAGAGAGAGAGAGAGAGUGUGUGUGUGUGCGUGCAUAUUGAUUGCUUGAGGCUUGUGGCAUAUUUAGAAAUUAAGCUAUGGCAUAGUCAGAAUUAGGAAAUUAUAUAAGUUGUUUGAACUUAAAAGAUAAGUACUGAACCAAGUAGAAGCCAUGUAUGUUAAAGAGAGAUAAGGAACCAGAAAGAGAGAAGUGGACCAGAUAUUAGAAGAAUAUGCAGUAGAUAUGAAGACAGCGCGUGAUCAGUUAUGAAAUAUGUUGUGAACACUUGGACUGGGAGAGGAGAAAAAGAGGGGAGGAUGAAAUUUAGGGCCAAUUAGGGCCAAUUUUUUUCACCCCAUUAUUACCUCACUUUAUAAUAACUUGAAAGACUCUUAGAUGCCCAUGAAGGAACCUCCAUCCAUCUGCAUCUAAGAGUCUCUCAAGCAUGCUGAAGAAGGAAAGCAGGAAUUUUAAUAGAGAACUGAGCUGUGUGGUAUUAAAUUGAUGUACUGAAUUUAACUUUGAUUAUGUUUUAUUUUGGGAUGGAAAUUUCCUGAUCUUGUGUCAUGUAAUUUAUUCUGGGUAGAAACCCAGAUUCCGUCAAGCAAUAAAAUAGUGCCUUGUAUUCAGCA